UCAAGCUAAAAAGGGCGCAAGGUGAAUGCCUUGGCACUGGGAGCCGAUGAAAGACGUGGUAAGCUGCGAAAAGCUUCGGGGAGGAGCAAACAUCCAUUGAUCCGGAGAUAUCUGAAUGGGGCAACCCAAUGGAGUUCAUACUCCAUUAUCCAAUACUGAAUCCAUAGGUAUUGGAAGGGAACCGCCUGAACUGAAACAUCUAAGUAGGGCGAGGAAGAGACAUCAAACGAGAUUCCGUAAGUAGUGGCGAGCGAACGCGGAAGAGGGCAAACCGAGAGGAGAAAUCCUUUCGGGGUACGGACUGCUUUUAAGACUGGAAGAGUUAACAGAAUGGCAUGGGAAGGCCAACCGAAGAGUGUGAGAGUCACGUAAGUAAAAAUUCUGACAGCUGCGCAGGAUCCAGAGUACGGCCAGACACGUGAAACCUGGUCGGAACAUGGGGGGACCACCCUCCAACCCUAAAUACUACCCAGUGACCGAUAGCGUAUAGUACUGUGAAGGAAAGGUGAAAAGGACCCCGGGAGGGGAGUGAAAGAGAACCUGAAACCUUGUGCCUACAAGCACAUAGAGCCCGUCAAAGGGUGAUAUGGUACUUUUUGUAGAACGGUCCGGCGAGCGAUUGUACGUUGCGAGCUUAAGGUCUUAAGGACUGGAGGCGUAGCGAGAGCGAGUCUAAACAGGGCGUUUAGUAGCGUGCAAUGGGCCCGAAACCGGGUGACCUACCCAUGAUCAGGCUGAAGUGAAAGUAAAAUUUCAUGGAGGGCCGAACCGACCUCCGUUGAAAAGGCGGCGGAUGAAUUGUGGGUAGCGGAGAAAUUCCAAUCGAACUCGGAGAUAGCUGGUUCUCCCCGAAAUAGCUUUAGGGCUAGCCUCAUGUUAGAUAUCCGGAGGUAAAGCACUGAAUGGCCUAGCGUCCGAGAGGAUAGCGAAGCCUAUCAAACUAAGAAUGCCGGAAUAUUGAUGCAUGGGAGUCAGACAGUGUGAGAUAAAUCUCAUUGUCAAAAGGGAAACAGCCCAGAUCUACAGCUAAGGUCCCAAAUUGUAUCUAAGUGGAAAACGAUGUGGAAAUACGCAGACAACCAGGAUGUUGGCUCAGAAGCAGCCACUCAUUUAAAGAGUGCGUAAUAGCUCACUGGUCGAGCGUCUCUGCGCGGAAAAUUUAACGGGGCUAAGAUACAAACCGAAGCUUAGGCUGCAUAUGUAAAUAUGCGGGGUAGGGGAGCGUUGUGUAAGCGGAGAAACAGUAGCGAAAGCGGCUGUGGAGUUUACAGAAGUGAGAAUGCCGGAAUGAGUAGCGCGAAUGAUGUGAGAAUCAUCAUGGCCGGAAACCUCAGGUUUUUGGAGGAAGGUUCGUCCGCUCCAAGUUAGGCGGGAGCUAAGGUGAGGCCGAAAGGCGUAGCCGAUGCACAGACGGUAGAGAUUCCGUCCCCACCGAAAGAUUUAAGCGCAGGGACACUUUUAGAAGGUCGGAGCCAGGUGUUGGUUCUGGUAGAGAUCGAGGGAAGAUUAGUACCGAAGUCCGGCUGGAUAAGAGGCGAGAAAAGCUGCGUGUAUAUCUAAGGUGCCCGUACCGCAAACCGACACAGGUAGGUAGGAAGAAGAUUCUAAGGCCAACGGGAGAAGGGUUGUUAAGGAACUCGGCAAGUUGACCCCGUAACUUCGGAAUAAGGGGUGCUCAUGAAAGUGAGCCGCAGAGAAUAGGCCCAGGCAACUGUUUACCAAAAACACAGGUUUGUGCUAAAUCGAAAGAUGACGUAUACGAGCUGACGCCUGCCCGGUGCUGGAAGGUUAAAAGGAGAUGUGCAAGCAUUGAAUUGAAGCCCCAGUGAACGGCGGCCGUAACUAUAACGGUCCUAAGGUAGCGAAAUUCCUUGUCAGGUAAGUUCUGACCCGCAUGAAAGGCGUAAUGAUCUGGGCACUGUCUCAACAGCCCGCCCGGCGAAAUUGUAGUACCGGUGAAGAUGCCGGUUACCCGCGACAAGACGGAAAGACCCCAUGGAGCUUUACUGUAGCCU
rnacentral:rRNA from 1 species